UACAGAGGGUGCGAGCGUUGUCCGGAAUCACUGGGCGUAAAGGGCGCGUAGGCGGCUUGAUAAGCGUGCGGUGAAAGCCCGGGGCUCAACCCCGGGUCGGCCGUGCGAACUGUCGAGCUGGAGCACUGUAGAGGCAGGUGGAAUUCCGGGUGUAGCGGUGGAAUGCGUAGAGAUCCGGAAGAACACCGGUGGCGAAGGCGGCCUGCUGGGCGAGUGGCUGACGCUGAGGCUCGAAAGCGUGGGGAGCAAACAGG
rnacentral:rRNA from 1 species